rnacentral:rRNA from 3 species
UCUCUAAGCAAUGGAUGUCUUGGCUCCUCACACGAUGAAGAACGUGGCAUAAUGUGUUAAGUAACCGGAGUUGCAAACAUCAUGACAGGUUAAUCUUUGAAUGCAAAUUGCGCCAAACUCGAUUUCGGUCGAGAGAAGCAUGGGUGUGACAGUACUACA